CAGUAGCCGCGGGAACACGGAGGGUGCAAGCGUUAAUCGGAAUUACUGGGCGUAAAGCGUGCGUAGGCGGUUCGUUAAGUCUGUUGUGAAAGCCCCGGGCUUAACCUGGGAAUGGCAAUGGAUACUGGCGAGCUAGAGUGUGUCAGAGGAUGGUGGAAUUCCCGGUGUAGCGGUGAAAUGCGUAGAUAUCGGAAGGAACACCAGUGGCGAAGGCGGCUACCUGGACUGACACUGACACUGAGGCGCGAAAGCGUGGGGAGCAAACAGGAUCAGAUACCCCGGUAGUCCCUGUCUCUUAUAC
rnacentral:rRNA from 1 species